AUGUCCCAUCUCAGUGGUGAGUAAGUUCACGAGCAGGGGGCCAUCUUGUUUGGAGGCUAGGCACCCAAAUGCUGUGUGAUUUGCUGUGUUGCACCUAAGGUGAGAAGCGGUGGCACCCCUGAACACUCCACAGUGUAGCCUGCCUCUCCACAAGUUUGUUCGCAGGUUAUUUUUACAGUCUGUUAAAAGCAGUGACUGGUAAAUGUGAUUAUUAAAGUGUUGUUCACCAUGAAAGGCAACACAACUCAUUUA